GUGUUCUUGGGGAACCUCAAACAAAACUUUGUUUCAAAAGGAUGAACAUCUAGGUCAAAAUAAUAAUUUCAGCAAAGUUGAAAACAAAUUUUUGUUAAUUACAAUUAAGGAAAAAAAUAUAACCUGUCAGGUUAUCAUUAGAAUAAUGAGUCCUAAAAUUAUACUUACUACUGACAGGGUGAAGAGUCAAAUACACCUUGUUUUGUGGAGGCUUUAGAAAGCGCAGCAUGGGAAACCUUUCCUGCAGCUACAGUAAGAAAUACUCACUGAAGAUCUCUGGGGGAUGUGAUGAGUGUAACAGCACUUCCCAGACAGUGAAGUCACUCUGUACUGACACUGAUUUUCAGCCUUAACACAGAGGUUAAAAGAAGAGAAAGGGAUCUUGAGGAGAGGCUGAAGCCAAGGCCUCUGGUUUUCACCCAGGAUUCAGUGCAAGCUUGGAAAGAGUAAAGAGCUUCUCACCUCAUUCCUGAUAUCAGCAAAAGGAUUGCAUAAUCUUAGCACUUCUAAUCUCAAGUAAUAAAUCAAUAUCUGGAG
rnacentral:lncRNA from 1 species